ACAUGCAAGUCGAGGGGUAGAGUUUCUUCGGAAACUUGAGACCGGCGCACGGGUGCGUAACGCGUAUGCAAUCUACCCUUUACUGGGGAAUAGCCCGGAGAAAUUCGGAUUAAUGCCCCAUAUGCCCACGGAAUCGCAUGGUUCAGUGGGAAAGUUCCGACGGUAAAGGAUGAGCAUGCGUCCCAUUAGCUAGUUGGUGAGGUAACGGCUCACCAAGGCGACGAUGGGUAGGGGGCCUGAGAGGGUGACCCCCCACACUGGUACUGAGACACGGACCAGACUCC
rnacentral:rRNA from 1 species